GGGUUGUGAGGUUAAGCGACUAAGCGUACACGGUGGAUGCCCUGGCAGUCAGAGGCGAUGAAGGACGUGCUAAUCUGCGAUAAGCGUCGGUAAGGUGAUAUGAACCGUUAUAACCGGCGAUUUCCGAAUGGGGAAACCCAGUGUGUUUCGACACACUAUCAUUAACUGAAUCCAUAGGUUAAUGAGGCGAACCGGGGGAACUGAAACAUCUAAGUACCCCGAGGAAAAGAAAUCAACCGAGAUUCCCCCAGUAGCGGCGAGCGAACGGGGAGCAGCCCAGAGCCUGAAUCAGUGUGUGUGUUAGUGGAAGCGUCUGGAAAGGCGCGCGAUACAGGGUGACAGCCCCGUACACAAAAAUGCACAUAUUGUGAGCUCGAUGAGUAGGGCGGGACACGUGGUAUCCUGUCUGAAUAUGGGGGGACCAUCCUCCAAGGCUAAAUACUCCUGACUGACCGAUAGUGAACCAGUACCGUGAGGGAAAGGCGAAAAGAACCCCGGCGAGGGGAGUGAAAAAGAACCUGAAACCGUGUACGUACAAGCAGUGGGAGCACGCUUCGGCGUGUGACUGCGUACCUUUUGUAUAAUGGGUCAGCGACUUAUAUUCUGUAGCAAGGUUAACCGAAUAGGGGAGCCGAAGGGAAACCGAGUCUUAACUGGGCGUUAAGUUGCAGGGUAUAGACCCGAAACCCGGUGAUCUAGCCAUGGGCAGGUUGAAGGUUGGGUAACACUAACUGGAGGACCGAACCGACUAAUGUUGAAAAAUUAGCGGAUGACUUGUGGCUGGGGGUGAAAGGCCAAUCAAACCGGGAGAUAGCUGGUUCUCCCCGAAAGCUAUUUAGGUAGCGCCUCGUGAAUUCAUCUCCGGGGGUAGAGCACUGUUUCGGCAAGGGGGUCAUCCCGACUUACCAACCCGAUGCAAACUGCGAAUACCGGAGAAUGUUAUCACGGGAGACACACGGCGGGUGCUAACGUCCGUCGUGAAGAGGGAAACAACCCAGACCGCCAGCUAAGGUCCCAAAGUCAUGGUUAAGUGGGAAACGAUGUGGGAAGGCCCAGACAGCCAGGAUGUUGGCUUAGAAGCAGCCAUCAUUUAAAGAAAGCGUAAUAGCUCACUGGUCGAGUCGGCCUGCGCGGAAGAUGUAACGGGGCUAAACCAUGCACCGAAGCUGCGGCAGCGACGCUUAUGCGUUGUUGGGUAGGGGAGCGUUCUGUAAGCCUGUGAAGGUGUGCUGUGAGGCAUGCUGGAGGUAUCAGAAGUGCGAAUGCUGACAUAAGUAACGAUAAAGCGGGUGAAAAGCCCGCUCGCCGGAAGACCAAGGGUUCCUGUCCAACGUUAAUCGGGGCAGGGUGAGUCGACCCCUAAGGCGAGGCCGAAAGGCGUAGUCGAUGGGAAACAGGUUAAUAUUCCUGUACUUGGUGUUACUGCGAAGGGGGGACGGAGAAGGCUAUGUUGGCCGGGCGACGGUUGUCCCGGUUUAAGCGUGUAGGCUGGUUUUCCAGGCAAAUCCGGAAAACUAAGGCUGAGGCGUGAUGACGAGGCACUACGGUGCUGAAGCGACAAAUGCCCUGCUUCCAGGAAAAGCCUCUAAGCAUCAGGUAACAUCAAAUCGUACCCCAAACCGACACAGGUGGUCAGGUAGAGAAUACCAAGGCGCUUGAGAGAACUCGGGUGAAGGAACUAGGCAAAAUGGUGCCGUAACUUCGGGAGAAGGCACGCUGAUAUGUAGGUGAAGCGACUUGCUCGUGGAGCUGAAAUCAGUCGAAGAUACCAGCUGGCUGCAACUGUUUAUUAAAAACACAGCACUGUGCAAACACGAAAGUGGACGUAUACGGUGUGACGCCUGCCCGGUGCCGGAAGGUUAAUUGAUGGGGUUAGCGGUAACGCGAAGCUCUUGAUCGAAGCCCCGGUAAACGGCGGCCGUAACUAUAACGGUCCUAAGGUAGCGAAAUUCCUUGUCGGGUAAGUUCCGACCUGCACGAAUGGCGUAAUGAUGGCCAGGCUGUCUCCACCCGAGACUCAGUGAAAUUGAACUCGCUGUGAAGAUGCAGUGUACCCGCGGCAAGACGGAAAGACCCCGUGAACCUUUACUAUAGCUUGACACUGAACAUUGAGCCUUGAUGUGUAGGAUAGGUGGGAGGCUUUGAAGUGUGGACGCCAGUCUGCAUGGAGCCGACCUUGAAAUACCACCCUUUAAUGUUUGAUGUUCUAACGUGGACCCGUAAUCCGGGUUGCGGACAGUGUCUGGUGGGUAGUUUGACUGGGGCGGUCUCCUCCUAAAGAGUAACGGAGGAGCACGAAGGUUGGCUAAUCCUGGUCGGACAUCAGGAGGUUAGUGCAAUGGCAUAAGCCAGCUUGACUGCGAGCGUGACGGCGCGAGCAGGUGCGAAAGCAGGUCAUAGUGAUCCGGUGGUUCUGAAUGGAAGGGCCAUCGCUCAACGGAUAAAAGGUACUCCGGGGAUAACAGGCUGAUACCGCCCAAGAGUUCAUAUCGACGGCGGUGUUUGGCACCUCGAUGUCGGCUCAUCACAUCCUGGGGCUGAAGUAGGUCCCAAGGGUAUGGCUGUUCGCCAUUUAAAGUGGUACGCGAGCUGGGUUUAGAACGUCGUGAGACAGUUCGGUCCCUAUCUGCCGUGGGCGCUGGAGAACUGAGGGGGGCUGCUCCUAGUACGAGAGGACCGGAGUGGACGCAUCACUGGUGUUCGGGUUGUCAUGCCAAUGGCACUGCCCGGUAGCUAAAUGCGGAAGAGAUAAGUGCUGAAAGCAUCUAAGCACGAAACUUGCCCCGAGAUGAGUUCUCCCUGACCCUUUAAGGGUCCUGAAGGAACGUUGAAGACGACGACGUUCAU
rnacentral:rRNA from 1 species